AUACGGAGGAUCCGAGCGUUAUCCGGAUUUAUUGGGUUUAAAGGGUGCGCAGGCGGCCAUUUAAGUCAGCGGUUAAAUCGUGGGGCUCAACCCCAUUCUGUCGUUGAUACUGGGUGGCUUGAUUGCGGUCGAGGUUGGCGGAAUUCGUUGUGUAGCGGUGAAAUGCAUAGAUAUGACGAAGAACACCGAUUGCGUAGGCAGCUGACCAGAUCGCAAAUGACGCUCAUGCACGAAAGUGCGGGGAUCGAACAGGAUUAGAUACCCUGGUAGUCCGCACAGUAAACGAUGAAUACUCGCUGUUUGCGAUAUACAGUAAGCGGCCAAGCGAAAGCAUUAAGUAUUCCACCUGGGGAGUACGCCGGCAACGGUGAAACUCAAAGGAAUUGACGGGG
rnacentral:rRNA from 1 species